CGGGAAUAGCUCAAAUUUUAAAUCGGACUUUGUUCGAGUUGUAAUUUGUAGAAGAUGCUUCGGGUGUAGCACCGGUCUAAGUUCCUUGGAACAGGACGUCAUAGAGGGUGAGAAUCCCGUAUGUGACUGGCUGCCUUCGCCUAUGUGAAGCUCUUUCGAC
rnacentral:rRNA from 1 species